rnacentral:lncRNA from 1 species
CCCCAGGCUCCACCUGCCUUCUUUGCACACCUGUCUGCAGCAGCGGCUGCCAAUCCCUUACCUUGAUGGCCUCCACAGAAUCACACUUGUCCAGUUCACCGAUGUGGUUAGUGACGCUGAUGUUGAGAGGGGCUGGCCAAGCGUGAUGGCUGCUGGUUCCUCUGGCAGUGGGUGUAAACUGAGGAGGGAGAUGCUCCACCCCGCAACGAUCACAGGAAGACAGGAUCAAAGCAAUGUCUGUUCCUCUUCUUCUCUUCUUCCUCGUCCUGUCUUUUCCCUCUUCCCCCCUCUGCCCUCCCUUCCCUUCCCAAACAAUUCAGUCCUCAGGUGGCCUAGCGCGGAGGGGUGAGGUGGACGUCCAGGUGGGGAGGGGUCAGCGGGAGGCGUCUCCGCCCGGGCAGAACGAGGUCGUCCACAGUCAGGGGCAGCCAAGCUGGGGUUGCGGGUGCCUGCUGGGCACCACGGGGAACGCCAGGCGAGUCCCCCAGGACACAGAGCGGGCCCCGGGCUCUCGAGGAGAGGAGAUCUGCAGACACUGCACUCCCGAGAGGUGGAUCCGAAUCCCGAAGGGGGCGGACACCAUGCGGAGAGGCUGCCUCCCGGUGAGUUUGCUGUGAGCCAUAACCCACGCACUCCUACCCGCGCUGACACUCCAAAUGCACCGGCGAUUUCUAACACGGGUCCAGUGUCUUCGGCACCAGCGGCUGGAUGAUACAGGAGGACAUUAUCAGCCACUUCCCGACAUCCACCUCAAUUUCUCACUUCCUGGUUACGUAGUCAAUGGUUUGACAAACUGAAAGGAAUUCACAAAUCUUGGCCUUUCCUGAUUUUGUCAGAAGCCUCUAGAGCUGGACCCCUCCCAACCUGUGACGGUUGGAGAAAGUGUCCAGGGCAUUCCACCAGCCACCGCCAGAAGUUUUUACCAUAACCUUGACGCCGUGCUCAAGAUAAAUAAGAACUGAUUUCACAUGUGUUACCAUUUCUUGAUACUUUAGCUGUUUGGACUCCCCAGGGUCAAUGCCACCUUCAGAUAAAAAUACUUUCUGCUGCACUGAGAACACAUUUUAUUAUAACAUAUGGAAGAUGUAUGAUGCUCUCCAUAUGCAGAUACUUUGUCAUUAGUCAAAUGAAUCAUUUCUGCAGGUGCCUGGGGCCAGCUGACAUCUUUACGAGGAUUAUAUAGUCUCUGUGUCUCAUGCAACUAAAAAUAGCUCUCUAAGUUGAAAAAUUUGAAUAGGCUUACAUUUUUCUGCAUAGGGAAAAAAUAGUGCCUAUUAAAUCUCUUUUGAAUCUGCUUAGUGUGGCUCUUUGCUUUGAAUAUGCUUUUUUGCCGUCAUUGGUCAGUAAGCUGGCCUGGAAAUCUUCCAGUUGGUUUAGGUGACUGAUUUUCUGUGCAAAGUCUGAUUGAUUUCCCAACAAACGGAAGAAAGAAGUCUAUAUUGUCUCUCUAAACAUCCUAAAGCAUCAUUGUUAGAUAAUUGCCUGUUUUUACCCAUCAAUCCUAAAGUGAGAUCCAUUCAAUCUCUCACCUGCUUCUGUUAUGUUCAUAUCCGCAGCCUAAAGAGUUAAAACAGCAUUCUGAGGGCUGGAGAGUAAUGAAAGCUUCUGUAAGCUCAAUCUAUAUCGCCACGAGGCAUGCUUCGGGGCUGUGCGGCUGUGGCACAGCUGGCUCAGACAUCCAGAAGGAGCAUUUUAGGAUGGCAG